CCAAUGAGGACACAGGAGGAGACUACAAGAUUCUACUCUUGAGGAGAAGGCUAGAAUGGACCUCAAUGUAAAAAGGCGCUAUAGAAAACAGAGUGUAAUCAGGAGAUGAAAGCUGAAACAGAAGAGUUAAAAGAAAUAAGAGAAAAGUCAACACCCUUUUGUAGAAAAUGUGGGAUAUUUAGACUAUAUCGCAUUCUUAUCCUCAUCUGCACUUUCACCGGUUCUGCCCUUCUAUGGUGGGCCUUCAGCCUUUCCACCUGGGUAAAGAUAGAAAUCCCAGGCAGUUCCAAAGUCCUGUUCAGUGCUCUCUUCGCAAUCUGCAAAGGUGAGGUCACAUGUUGGACGCCUCUAUCAAGAUCAACUUUAUACUCCUGGCCUUCCCUCAUUCCCUUCCGGAUUCCUGGGAACAGUACUUUGUCUUCACAAUCACCUUCUUGAUCAUAGGUAUCUGCGUGUGCCUUGCAUUACUGCUGCACUCUCUGGAUAUUUUGAAACUAACUAACUUAGACAAGGAAGCGAAAAUCACCUUUCUCUACCCAACUUUCAUCCUUUUAUUCAGCGCCACACUAUUUUUCAUAUCUGGAAUUCUCUGCUUCUUCAGCUCCCAUCAUUGUUGGCUUCGGUGUGUUUUACUGCAACCAAUCCGUGUGAAACCUACGCAAGUAUCAGUGACCAGUGGAAACAGUGACAGUCACAUAGAGGAAACCAGAUAGAGAUGGCUAGCCUAACCUCACUGGUGGUGAGAAGACUAACUUUAAUAGAGACAUCAUGUUUAGCCCAUAAUUCAAGACUUCACGGCUACACACACAAUCUUGUUUAAUUACUGUGUAAGAUUGGAAAGAGUUGGCCUGUUACUAAUCAUUCAUCAGACGUGGAUUAGGAUUCCAGGAACUUAGGUUUUUCACAAAGAGAAGACACAGUUGGGGCGUGGGGAGGCAUGAGUGUGCUUUGGCUCUUGGGACUUGGAAUGAAAAUCUUCUCACCUUGAAGAUUCCCUAGGCCCACUCCACCCUCUCACUGGUAUUCCUGGUCACCUGGCAGUAGCUUUCAAACAGUAGCAAAGCUCUUUCUCUACCUACCAAGCCUGAGUUUUGAUAAAAAUUCACUGUCCUCUGGGAAUUUCAUGUGUGGUAUCACUACUGUAUUAUUCAGGACUCUUUAUUGGUAACAUAAGGUAACAAAACCUUAUCCAAACUACCUUAAACAUCAACAAAAGGGUGAAUUUAUCAAGAAGAUGCAGGCGUAGCUCAUAGACUCAAAGGAAAUUCUGGUAGAAUCAGGACAAAAAAACUUUGGGGAGUAGACAUGGAGCUCAUUUCCUUCAGCUUACUAUUUUUUUACUACUCAAUGAAAGUUAAUGGAAUUUCCUGAUUCAUAAAUGUAAUCACCGUCCCAAAUUCCCCUUGCUCAUCACUUCCAAUGAAUCAUCAAAGCCUGUCCUUUCCACCUUAGCCAGACCUCUGUUCUGCUCUCUGAGCCCUCCUCACCCGCCUUGGGCCAGACCAGGCCUUUGCCAUCCCUGCCCAGACUAUGCGGUCUCUAAAUGUGGCUUCUCCCCCACUGCAGUCUAGCUCUACAGUGCUGCCCGGCUAGAUUCAAUCUUCCUAAAACACAGAACUGAGAAUGUUCUUCUUAAAAACCUAUUUUCCCUUUUUCUUGCCUACAGGAUAAGUCCCUUAUCUUGAGAAAUAAAGUUAUUUACAAGUUGGCA
rnacentral:lncRNA from 1 species